rnacentral:rRNA from 1 species
GAACGAUGAAGCUUCCUGCUUGCAGGAAGUGGAUUAGUGGCGAACGGGUGAGUAUCACGUGAGUAACCUACCCUUGACUCUGGGAUAAGCCCGGGAAACUGGGUCUAAUACCGGAUACGACCAGUCACCGCAUGGUGUGCUGGUGGAAAGUGUUAGCGGUUUUGGAUGGACUCGCGGCCUAUCAGCUUGUUGGUGAGGUAAUGGCUCACCAAGGCGAUGACGGGUAGCCGGCCUGAGAGGGUGACCGGCCACACUGGGACUGAGACACGGCCCAGACUCCUACGGGAGGCAGCAGUGGGGAAUAUUGCACAAUGGGGGAAACCCUGAUGCAGCGACGCCGCGUGCAGGAUGACGGCCUUCGGGUUGUAAACUGCUUUCAGCAGGGAAGAAGCUUUUUGUGACGGUACCUGCAGAAGAAGCGCCGGCUAACUACGUGCCAGCAGCCGCGGUAAUACGUAGGGCGCGAGCGUUAUCCGGAAUUAUUGGGCGUAAAGAGCUCGUAGGCGGUUUGUCGCGUCUGCUGUGAAAGCCCGGGGCUUAACCCCGGGUGUGCAGUGGGUACGGGCAGACUAGAGUGCAGUAGGGGAGACCGGAAUUCCUGGUGUAGCGGUGAAAUGCGCAGAUAUCAGGAGGAACACCGAUGGCGAAGGCAGGUCUCUGGGCUGUUACUGACGCUGAGGAGCGAAAGCAUGGGGAGCGAACAGGAUUAGAUACCCUGGUAGUCCAUGCCGUAAACGUUGGGCACUAGGUGUGGGGGACAUUCCACGUUUUCCGCGCCGUAGCUAACGCAUUAAGUGCCCC